AGUGAACGCUGGCGGUAGGCCUAACACAUGCAAGUCGAACGGCAGCACAGUAAGAGCUUGCUCUUACGGGUGGCGAGUGGCGGACGGGUGAGGAAUACAUCGGAAUCUACUUUUUCGUGGGGGAUAACGUAGGGAAACUUACGCUAAUACCGCAUACGACCUACGGGUGAAAGCAGGGGAUCUUCGGACCUUGCGCGAUUGAAUGAGCCGAUGUCGGAUUAGCUAGUUGGCGGGGUAAAGGCCCACCCAGGCGACGAUCCGUAGCUGGUCUGAGAGGAUGAUCAGCCACACUGGAACUGAGGCACGGUCCAGACGCCUACGGGAGGCAGCAGUGGGGAAUAUUGGACAAUGGGCGCAAGCCUGAUCCAGCCAUACCGCGUGGGUGAAGAAGGCCUUCGGGUUGUAAAGCCCUUUUGUUGGGAAAGAAAAGCAGCAGGUUAAUACCCCGCUGUUCUGACGGUACCCAAAGAAUAAGCACCGGCUAACUUCGUG
rnacentral:rRNA from 1 species